UUUUUUUUCUCCGCUCGAAGCCCUCCUAUCUCGAUCGAUUUUCUCUCUGCUCUGACGGCUCUUGGGAAACCCUAGCCGUCGGGCGCCCUGGGCAAGCCCACCGGAGGACGCCGGAGCCGAAGGGGAGUCGCAAACGCAGAGAUCCGGCUACAACGUGGCUUUCCCGACCGGUUGUGGCGGCGAUUUCGCAUCACAUAGAUCCGCUCGUGGCCUUCCCUUCUGCGCGGUCGGUGGAUCCUCUGGAGCUCCGCUGGCGCCCCGAGCAGGGCUCUCUCGGCGUGGAGGGCGGAGGCAAGGGACGGGUGUGGCAGCGGCUUCGGCCAGCCCACGGCUCCCAGCCCCUGGCGGGCAGCACUCAGUCCCUGGCGGCGAGCUCGUAUUCCCAGACCUUGCCUCCACUUUCUGGUGGUUCUAGCAGCAAUUCGAUUUCUGGUGAGAAAUUUCACUCCGAAGAUGGUUCAACUCUUUUUGCAAGUGCCGGCAGAAUGCGGCAGUGUUAAUACAGUUGUCGUGGAAGGGAGGAGAUCUCUUUUUCACAAUGUUGAGUCCAUAAUCAAGUCAUUGACAAAAUCAGCAGGCAGGUAUGAAGCUCGGCUGUGGCUCUGUGCCACUGUCUCGUUGGUCCAUUCGCUCAGUGACUGUGGCCAGAGGGACCUGUUUCUUGAUCUCUUAGAGAGGAAGAAUUCCAGGCGUGAUGUCGCUGCUCGCUUGCUGCGUAUGAUUUUCGAUAAGAAACCCAGAAUGGUUGGGUCUAUUCUAGCAAGAAAAGGCCAUAUACUGGAGGAUUUCUUCCGAGGAAAUCCAAACAGGAUAAUGCAGUGGUUUGGCCACUUUGCUGUUACUGGGGAAUCCACACAUAGAAAGGGAGCUAAGGCACUUUCGCAGUUUGCGUUUGUAAAUCGUGACAGGUGCUGGGAAGAACUUGAGUGGAAAGGCAAGCAUGGGCAAUCUCCGGCUGUAGUUGCUACCAAGCCUCACUAUUUUCGUGAUCUUGAUGUUCUCGAGACAGUGGAGAAUUUCUUAGAGUAUGUCCCAGAUUUCUGGUCUUCUGAUGAGCUUGCUAAUUCUAUCAAAGAUGGUGAAAUACUGCAAAUCGAUGAAGAAUAUUUUGUAGAUCAAUUUUUAUACUUAAUGUAUGAGGAGAAUUCCAAAGAUGCAUGGCAUGUGGUUGAAGAUUUUUUGAUGGACGAGCAGUUCUCUUCUCUUUGCCAGCAUCUUCUUAUCCAUCUGGAUGAGGAAAGGCUUCUUGGUUUCUUAAAUUCUUUAGGCAAGCUCAUCAAUCCUACUAUGCAGUGCAAGGAAUUGACAUUCCCGUGUUGUUGGCUUGAAGUUCUUUUAUCAGGACAUUAUGAUCACAUAUCUCUUGAUGAUCUUGUCUUUUUGAACUGUGUCAUUGCCAAGGGUAGACAACUUUGGCGGCUCAUGAACGAUGAAGAACAACACGAAGAAUGGGGGCAAAUGGAAGAACUUUUGAAGGGCGGAAACCAUUUGACUGAUGCUGAUCAUUUUGCUCUCAUGAAGGAACUUGUGGAGACAGAAUUACCUGGUGUGCUUAAGUGGGUAGGCAUUCAGUCCUGGAUAAUUUUCUGUGAAUUGUCGAAAGAAUGCAAAUCAGGAGAUUCUUGUGAAUCUUUUUUCUCUCAUAACAAAAUAGAAUUUCACAAGGCUGAUGAUUACUCAUUGGUUCGGAAUUAUGGGUUCUCAAUUUCACAUAUGCCUGAUAUUGAUGUUGAAGAUCUAACUAGAAGCAGCCAUAAAAGGAGAAAGAGGAAUAGGAGAAAGCGCCAUAGGUACGAGUCUGAUGAGGACAAGUUUGAUGAACUGCUUGAACUUGGAUCAUCUGAUGGAAAGAAUGGUGUUGAGUCACAGCGUGGAAGCUGGCGCCUUUCAACUGAUGGUUUCUCUGCUUCUUGGGACAUUUCAGACAUACCAGAUCACCUUUCUACUUGUUAUUUCACAAUUUGGGUAAAGUGGGCUUGCUUUAGAUGAUUGUCUACACAGUAUGUGUAGUAUAUCAAUCUGGGUGCCUUUUCAGCUACAGAAUCUAUGAGCAUGGAGCUCAGGCAGGCAUAUUUCUGCACUAAUUCUGCAACAUUUUGGUGAUGGGUUCUGAUGAUGCAUUCUGGGAUUGCUGAACGCUGCAUGAGAUCCAGGACAACUCUCUUUAGUUGGGAUGCUGAAGGUUGACACCUGUUGAAGAAUUUUGGUUGCAUAGGCAUUGAAUAUGGUCCAGGCAUUUCCUUGAAACCCAUUUGGACUUUGGAGUUAGUUGUAGAGAACUCAGGUAUUGACUAAGCUAAGCAAAAACGAGUUUGUAAUUGUGUUGUCUAGUGCUAGCGACAUUUUGCCAACUACACCUGUUGUAAAUAUACCAGAUUGUUGCUGUGAAUUUGAUUGGAAUUGGGUUGAAUUGGAAUUUAAUUCUUGGGCUGACCUGUUUGGC